GUGAACUCUUACUGCCUCUCUGAUGCAUCUUAGGGCUUCCCUGAGCCCUCUAGUGUUUUUUUGGCCCUAAUACUUCUCUCUUUGGUAUUUUUUGCAUUUUAAUUUUUCUUUCCUUCUCUGUGUGGAUAUUGGAAAUGUUUAUAUCACAAAGAUCUAUAAAGCCACUUGUGGUUUCUGAGUGCUUUGACUUUCUGCUAUUGCUCAAUUCUCAAGGCUGGCUUGUGCUGCCACUGGUCACUCUCUCAAAAGGCAGGGGCUACAUCCCAGAUCUGCUCUUCCUUCACUGAAACUGGAGGACAUGGAGAGAUAGAGAAGUACAGGAAGACACCACCAGCAUGGGAGCAUGGGCUUCAACAGCGGAGGACCUCCUCCUGAAGGUAUGGGCUCACAUUCUAAAGAACAGAUUUGAAAAAUAUGAGGAACGGGCUUUAUUAGCCCGAAUAAUGUGGUGAGCGAACCGUGGAAUUGGACAUAUCAGAAGUGGCUGCCCUAGAUUUAAAAACUUGGGAGUGGGCUGGCUUGUGGCAAGCACAUUUCUCUCUCUCUCAGGAUUUUUUAUUGAGGUGCACAGAGAGAAAUGAAAGAGAAAACAAUUUCUAUUUCUGCUCCAUGUUUUUCUCUUGUGGAAUGUGUUUGGAGAAUUGUUUACCUGGAGUGAGCUCUUGGUUGGAUCAUGGUGGAUUGUUUGGGCCUGAGAGCCAAUCGGAUCCACCUGUGUCUGGGCUCUGGUGAACAGGGUCACGAGUUGUGAGUUAGUUAGAUAUGAUAGUUAGAGAAAGUAGCAUGUAGUAUUUAGUAUCCUCUUUUAUAUAGCAUAUUAAUGUAUUAUAACAUAAUUAUAAUAAAGCAAUCAUUUAGCCUUCUGAAAUGGAGUUAGACAUCAUCAUUCUUCCCAUUGGGUUCGCCGACAUCAACAACAAGUGGUGACCCCGAACGUUGGAUGAAGAACCAGGACCUGGAUCGGUCCACAACCGUGAUUUAACACGGGAAAGGAGGUGAACCCUCUUGAAAAGGCAUGUCCGACGUCCCUGCGAGGGAUAGGGGAGGUAAGACGCCGUGGGAACCCUUUCUAUUGGACCAGGUGCAGCCCCGAGCAGUUUGCCGUAACUGGACGCCUCUGCCUUCCUUUGAAAGGUACUGAUUUUCUGAUAAUAGUACUACCCUGAUCUAGGGUGGACUUUAACCUUGGGAAGAGAUGUCUGCAGAUUUCGACAUUGGUUUGUCUUGUGUACAUGGCCCUAUACUUGCCCUCUGGAGAGAUUUGGCUCGGGUCAAUGGAAUUUCUAUCCCUGAUGAUGAUUUUUUGGAGUUUCUUGAAUAU